rnacentral:lncRNA from 1 species
GUCUAACAUGUAACAGGGCAAAUGGACUCACUUUCAAGGAAAUUAACUUUAAUCAACUUUCUUGAUAAUUAAAAUGUAGACCAGGAGUGGGAACACUUUGGGAAAUUCAUAUUCUUGAUUUCUUUUUAAUAACCACAAAUCAGGUAGUCAUGACUUAGAGUAUAUGGAAAUACUUUUCUUUGGAUUUUCCAAAUUAUUAGCAGUAUUUCUGAUUUAAAGUCUGGUGUUAGAAGUAAGGAAAUUGCUGAGUCCAGGCGCACCUACCAGUAAUCUAUCUCAGGAAUGAGUUGCUUAUGGGAAGAGCCUGCUUUGAGAGGAACAAAAUGAAAGGGGAAAUUUACACUGAAUAUCAUUUGGAGCCUUUUAAAUAUGUACAUUACCAAGUUUUGAGAAUCAGAUGCAUUUAAAAUGAUGAACUUGGAAAGUCCAGAUCCACCAGGAGGCAGCAUUGCACCACUCUGUGAAGAAGACUUGGACCUCGAGUGUGGGCCUGGAUGCCAGGACUUGGAGUUUGUGUCUGUCUCCAUUUCUCUCUUCGUCUUUUUUUCCCCUCCACUUUCCUUAUAACACUUUUUCCCUUGCUUUAGGAGUCAGAUCUGUAGCUUUAGACUUAGCUAUGGAGUUGUUUACUCUUGUGUAUGUUAUAUCUUUCUUUCUGUUUAAUAAACCAAUGUUUAGCUGGGCAUC